AGUGAACGCUGGCGGUAGGCCUAACACAUGCAAGUCGAACGGCAGCACAGUAAGAGCUUGCUCUUACGGGUGGCGAGUGGCGGACGGGUGAGGAAUACAUCGGAAUCUACUUUUUCGUGGGGGAUAACGUAGGGAAACUUACGCUAAUACCGCAUACGACCUACGGGUGAAAGCAGGGGAUCUUCGGACCUUGCGCGAUUGAAUGAGCCGAUGUCGGAUUAGCUAGUUGGCGGGGUAAAGGCCCACCAAGGCGACGAUCCGUAGCUGGUCUGAGAGGAUGAUAAGCCACACUGGAACUGAGACACGGUCCAGACUCCUACGGGAGGCAGCAGUGUGGAAUAUUGGACAAUGGGCGCAAGCCUGGUCCAGCCAUACCGCGUGGGUGAAGAAGGCGUUCGGGUUGUAAAGCCCUUUUGUUGGGAAAGAAAAGCAGCAGGUUAAUACCCCGCUGUUCUGACGGUACCCAGAGAAUAAGCACCGGCUAACUUCGUG
rnacentral:rRNA from 1 species